UGGCUCAGAGGUUAAGAGCACUGGGCUGCUCUUCCAGAGGUCCUGAGUUCAAUUCCCAG
rfam:Cricetulus griseus cell line CHO-K1, whole genome shotgun sequence.